AGCAGUAGGCAGUAGACCCUGUCAACUGAUGCUAUGAACUCUCACCAAGACUGAGCUGAAGAACAAGAACAAAAUUUGUCAGUUAUGUGCUGCUUGACUUUACUGAAGACUAGAAUAGAACGUGUUUUCACAUUAUUUAAAUUCUAGCCUCUAAGAGGAAGAAGAAUAAAUAUACAAUAUUGUGACUUACUUAUUAAACAUCAUCUUGAUUUUUCUAAAAAGUGCAUGUUCAGAAGAUUCAACUAAAUUUUUUUAGUAAAAUAACAUAAAAAAUGCAAUUACAGGUUAAGGCAGUUUGUAAGAGUGUGUAGGAAUAAAAGGUAUAAUAUAAUUAAUCUUUCAUGUCUCUGAUGGAAGACUCACUUCCAAACUAAUUGCUCAGUGAGUAAUUCAGUGCAUAGAAUAAACGAAUGAAAAGAACAUCAGUGCAGUAAGUGAAACAAAGUAAUCACAGGAAAGCCUUCCCAAAUAUUUACACUUGCUUAUAUGAUGUGCUUAAUUGACUGUAUUUUGAUUCUCUAAAUGCCAGUCAGAGGCAGAAGUAGCAGAAGAAAAAGCUAAUUUUUUAACCUUUUGUGACACAUCAAGAGGGAAAUAUUCUUGUAUUUUAUGUAGUGCUUUGUCAGAACAAGAUCUAUUUGUAAAGAGGGAAAUGAAUUAAAUCCCUACAACUUCA